UAACGCGUGAGAAUCUGGCUCUAGGUCUGGGACAACCACUGGAAACGGUGGCUAAUACCGGAUGUGCCGAGAGGUGAAAGGUUAACUGCCUAGAGAUGAGCUCGCGUCUGAUUAGCUAGUUGGAAGUGUAAUGGACUCCCAAGGCGACGAUCAGUAGCUGGUCUGAGAGGACGAUCAGCCACACUGGGACUGAGACACGGCCCAGACUCCUACGGGAGGCAGCAGUGGGGAAUUUUCCGCAAUGGGCGAAAGCCUGACGGAGCAAUACCGCGUGAGGGAGGAAGGCUCUUGGGUCGUAAACCUCUUUUCUCAGGGAAGAACAAAAUGACGGUACCUGAGGAAUAAGCAUCGGCUAACUCCGUGCCAGCAGCCGCGGUAAUACGGAGGAUGCAAGCGUUAUCCGGAAUGAUUGGGCGUAAAGCGUCCGCAGGUGGCUAAGUAAGUCUGCUGUUAAAGAGUCUAGCUCAACUAGAUAAGAGCAGUGGAAACUACUAGGCUAGAGUACGUUCGGGGCAGAGGGAAUUCCUGGUGUAGCGGUGAAAUGCGUAGAGAUCAGGAAGAACACCAGUGGCGAAGGCGCUCUGCUAGGCCGUAACUGACACUGAGGGACGAAAGCUAGGGGAGCGAAUGGG
rnacentral:rRNA from 1 species